rnacentral:rRNA from 1 species
UGAAUACGAGAUGCCACGGCGUCGAAGCAGUCUAUGUCAUACUUCCAAGAAAAGCUCGCACUGUCAUAAACAAAUAAUGCCUGUACCAUAACCGACACAGGUGGGUAGGUAGAGUAUACUAAGGGGCGCGAGAUAACUCUCUCUAAGGAACUCGGCAAAAUGACUCCGUAACUUCGGGAGAAGGAGUGCCUUAUUUAUAAGGUUGCAAUAACAAGAUCCAAGCAACUGUUUAUCAAAAACACAGGUCUCCGCUAAGUCGUAAGACGAUGUAUGGGGGCUGACGCCUGCCCAGUGCCAGAAGGUUAAAGAAGUUGGUUAGCAUUCGCGAAGCUGAUAACUGAAGCCCUGGUGAACGGCGGCCGUAACAAUAACGGUCCUAAGGUAGCGAAAUUCCUUGUCGGGUAAGUUCCGACCCGCACGAAAGGCGUAAUGAUUUGGAUACUGUCUCGGAGAGGGGCUCGGUGAAAUGGACUUGUCUGUGAAGAUGCGGACUACCUGCACCAGGACAGAAAGACCCUAUGAAGCUUUACUGUAACUUGAGAUUGAAAUUGGACUUUACUUGCGCAGUAUAGGUGGGAGGCGUUGAUAAUAUUCUUGCGGGAUUAUUUGAGCCAUCAGUGAGAUACCACUCUUGUAAUGUUAGAUUUCUAACUUUGUAUCAUUAUCUGGUCAAAGGACAGUUUCAGGCGGGCAGUUUGACUGGGGCGGUCGCCUCCUAAACGGUAACGGAGGCGCACAAAGGUUUCCUCUGAACGGGUAGAAAUCGUAUCUAGAGUGUAAAGGCAUAAGGAAGCUUGACUGUGAGACCUACAAGUCGAGCAGGGACGAAAGUCGGUCUUAGUGAUCUGACGGUGCUGAGUGGAAAGGCCGUCACUCAACGGAUAAAAGUUACUCUAGGAUAACAGGCUGAUCUCCCCCAAGAGUUCACAUCGACGGGGAGGUUUGGCACCUCGAUGUCGGCUCAUCGCAUCCUGGGGCGGUAGUACGUCCCAAGGGUUGGGCUGUUCGCCCAUGAAAGCGGUACGCGAGCUGGGUUCAGAACGUCGUGAGACAGUUCGGUCAUAUCCGGUGUAGGCGUUAGAAUAUUGAGAGGAGCCUUCUUUAGUACGAGAGGACCGAGAAGGACAUACCUCUGGUGUACCAGUUAUCGUGCCAACGGUAAACGCUGGGUAGCUAUGUAUGGAGUGGAUAACCGCUGAAAGCAUCUAAGUGGGAAGCCCACCUCAAGAUAAGUAUUCUCAU